rnacentral:rRNA from 1 species
ACGAACGCUGGCGGCGUGCUUCACACCUGCCAGUCGAACGGAAAGGCCCUGCUUUUGUGGGGUGCUCGAGUGGCGAACGGGUGAGUAACACGUGAGUAACCUGCCCUUGACUUUGGGAUAACUUCAGGAAACUGGGGUUAAUACCGGAUAGGAGCUCCUGCUGCAUGGUGGGGGUUGGAAAGUUUCGGCGGUUGGGGAUGGACUCGCGGCUUAUCAGCUUGUUGGUGGGGUAGUGGCUUACCAAGGCUUUGACGGGUAGCCGGCCUGAGAGGGUGACCGGCCACAUUGGGACUGAGAUACGGCCCAGACUCCUACGGGAGGCAGCAGUGGGGAAUAUUGCACAAUGGGCGGAAGCCUGAUGCAGCAACGCCGCGUGCGGGAUGACGGCCUUCGGGUUGUAAACCGCUUUCGCCUGUGACGAAGCGUGAGUGACGGUAAUGGGUAAAGAAGCACCGGCUAACUACGUG